rnacentral:rRNA from 1 species
GACGAACCGUACGAACGUUAUUCGGAAUCACUGGGCUUAAAGGGUGCGUAGGCGGUGCGGCAAGUUGGGUGUGAAAUCCCUCGGCUCAACCGAGGAACUGCGCUCAAAACUACCGUGCUCGAGGGAGACAGAGGUGAGCGGAACUUAGGGUGGAGCGGUGAAAUGCGUUGAUAUCCUAAGGAACACCGGUGGCGAAGGCGGCUCACUGGGUCUCUUCUGACGCUGAGGCACGAAAGCUAGGGUAGCGAACGGG